GCCAGGUGCAGUGGUGCACACCUGCAAUCUCAGUAGCUUGGGAGGCUGAGGCAGGAGGAUCGCCUCAACAAAGCCAGCCUCAACAAAGGUGAGGUGCUUAGCAGUUCAGUGACACCCUGUCUCUA
rnacentral:sRNA from 1 species